rnacentral:snoRNA from 2 species
AUCAGUGUAAAGAUUCUUAGACCAUAGGAAGUGUCGUAUGACACUGUAAACCAAUAGCUUCAGCUACUUCUGAGAUUGUAAACUUUGUGGUUUGGUCUGUUCCAAAAUCUCUAUUUGCAGCCGGUUUGGUUCAGCUGUGUGCGUGAUUUAAAACGGGUCUCUGGGAU